AAGGUUGUCACAUUAACCUCAUGUCACAACUUUCCUCCAGUGGCUUACUGAAUUUGAGUGGAGAACUUCAAAUCAGAUGAUCCAUGGCCCAUGCUUUCUGGACAUUUACACAAGAUGAGCAACAAUGAAGACAAGCUCUCUUGCCAUCUUGCAAGACGCUGUCUCUGUC